rnacentral:rRNA from 1 species
AUUGAACGCUGGCGGCAGGCUUAACACAUGCAAGUCGAGCGGGGGAAGGUAGCUUGCUACCGGACCUAGCGGCGGACGGGUGAGUAAUGCUUAGGAAUCUGCCUAUUAGUGGGGGACAACAUCUCGAAAGGGAUGCUAAUACCGCAUACGUCCUACGGGAGAAAGCAGGGGAUCUUCGGACCUUGCGCUAAUAGAUGAGCCUAAGUCGGAUUAGCUAGUUGGUGGGGUAAAGGCCUACCAAGGCGACGAUCUGUAGCGGGUCUGAGAGGAGGUUCCGCCCCACUGGGACUGAGAGACGGCCCAGACUCCUACGGGCAGCAGCUGUGGGGAAUAUUGGACAAUCGGGUGAACCCUGAUCCAGCCAUGCCGCGUGUGUGAAGAAGGCCUUAUGGUUGUAAAGCACUUUAAGCGAGGAGGAGGCUACUUUAGUUAAUACCUAGAGAUAGUGGACGUUACUCGCAGAAUAAGCACCGGCUAACUCUGUGCCAGCCGCCGCCGUAA